rnacentral:rRNA from 1 species
GCAGCGGAGCGUGUGGUUUAAUUCGUUGCUACACGAAGAACCUUACCUGGGUUUGACAUAUAGGUUGUAGGGAACUGAAAGGGACCGACCCUUCGGGAGCCUAUACAGGUUGUUGCAUGGCUGUCGUCAGCUCGUGUCGUGAGAUGUUCGGUUAAGUCCGCUAACGAGCGCAACCCUCGUCGUAUGUUAUAUGUGUCAUACGAGACUGCCGGUAAAAGCCGGAGGAAGGUGAGGAUGAUGUCAAGUCAGCAUGACCUUUAUAUCCAGGGCUACACACACGCUACAAUGGUCUGUACAAUGGGUAGCCAAGCCGCGAGGCGGAGCCAAUCCUGAAAGCAGGCCUCAGUUCAGAUUGCAGUCUGCAACUCGACUGCAUGAAGCCGGAGUUGCUAGUAACCGCAGGUCAGCAAUACUGCGGUGAAUACGUUCCCGGGUCUU